AGAUCCAGUCCUUGAACCUGGACAGGCUAACAUUUCUCACAGCCACUAGUCUCCAAAGAAGCUAAGCCUUGGAGCUACUUCCCAGUCGGAAAACAAGCAUUUAUUUAUGUAGGAAACUAGUGACCGUGGCUGUGCGCGCGCAUGCGUGGCGUGUGGAUGGGUCCCCGCUCCCCUGGCCCAGCUCUCUGACCUCUGACACACCCGACCCGACUUCCAUUCUCACUGCGCUUUCACUGCCCCUCCGGCUUUCUGUCCGUGUCCUCCACGCAGCCGCCCCGUAGGAUGGAACAGCACAGCAGUCUCUCACCGGCACCCUCAGCCCGCAGACUCCCCUUUCUGCUCUUCCUAUCUGGCUGAAGCCCAGCCUCAGAUCUAGGACCCGAAGACUAGAGACUUCCAGGGACACGCAACUCCCAGUGAGCACCCAGAAGCCUCCAAUACUUGCCUUAAAUGUGCGGUUACCUUGGAUUCCAGCAGAACCUCCAUAAAACUGAAACUGUCACAAGCAGAAAGUCAUCCCAUGGAGACCAGAUUAAGUGAUACGGACUGCUCUGGGGGCCAUUGUGCAAAACCAGAACUGAAAUACUAACCAACUAGACCCUAGCCCACUUUAGCUACUCAAUAAAAGCUGAUCUUGUUCUUUGGUAA